CUGGGAUCGAGCCCCGCAUCGGGCUCCCUGCUCAGUGGGAAGCCUGCUUCUCCCUCUCCCACUUCCCCCUGCUUGUGUUCCCUCCCUCACUGUGUCUCUCUCUGUCAAAUAAAUAAAUAAAAUCUUAAAAAAAUAUAUUUAUAGAUGAGGAAAUGGAGGCACACAGAGGUUAAGUAACUUAGAUCAUAAAGUUAGCUACCAGCAGAGCCAGGGUUCAAAUCCAAGCAGCCUUGUUUAAGAAUGCUAACUACUACUUUCCACUCUCUUUUCCCAAAUCUUGUGAUGCCAAGCCAUGGUAUUUGCAUCCAGAGAAUCAAUUAUCUUCACAACCCUUGACAUAACUUACCUUUUUACCCCAAAUCUAUUUUGGAAGGAUUUCAAAGUGAUCAACAGCCUUUGCAGUGCAUGCAUGUUGCUUUUGGCAACUUACCGUUUUAACACCCUCUGCUUCCACUUAGCCGACAGUUACGUGUUUCUACAAUCACACAUUCAAGCAACUACUAUCCCUCAUUUAAGUUAAAUUGUUUGACUCAGAUGUAUGGGCAGUGGUAAUUGCUCCUAAGUUAAGUAACAAUCAACACUUGCAUAAUACAAACAAUAAUCUUUAAAACUCUACCAGGCUUUCUACCACAUCGUAAUCAUUCUAUAAGGACCCAACAUUUGGAGGGAAAAGGAAGACAUUCUCGAUAGAGUUUUUAGUUUUCCGUAGACUUCGGAAGAACAAUACUGUUGUCACUGAGCUUCUUUAAAUGAAACUGUUGGAGAAGGUCAUUGAGAGGAGUAACCCCCGGUUGACCCUCUAGCUGCACCCGGAGCAAUGGGAGGUGCCUCGCCCUCUCCCCUAUCGUUGGGAUGUACAUUCCAAGAGCAGUAAUUUCCAGGAUGCAGCCUUGAGAGAGUAAGGUGUUGCUGAGACCAUCUGAACGCUCUACGUGGUGGCAGAACCCUGGCGAGGCCUGUGUCAACUCUGAAGAUUUUAAGAGGUGGUGCAGAGAUCUGCUGGUCUUGGGGAGCCCAAGAUGCGCCUCCUGUAGUAAGUUCCCUUGCUUGUCGAAACUGCCGCCUCCGGAUCUGCGGUGACAUGUCUGUGGUCUCCCCUUGCCCUCUGCAUAUGGGGCUGAUUUCGAAUUUCACCCAGGAAACUCCUGAGGUUGAGAACCAGCAACAACAUUCUAUCAUUCCCAGGCCAAAAGAUCCAAUGAAAGGAGCAGUCAGCUUUUUGGGCUGAGUUGGGAACAGGAGUUAGCCCGCGGCACCUGCUUUCACGCCCAUACUUGAUUGCUUUACUUCUACUGUCUUCACCUUCCAACCCCAUGGGGCAAGAAGAAAUGCCUCCGUCGCUUGGAUGAAAAGUGCUUAAUGAACAAAACGGCAAAGGAAAGGAACAGAUUUCCAGGACAGCUGCUGGCAUUCAGGUCCCCUGAAGGGAUGUGAACGGUUUCAAGGGAGCAGUUUAUUCCCUUCCCACUGACGUGAGCAGGAUAACAACAUGGAGCAGCGUGUGCAUCUGGAACCCUAUCAAGGCCCACUUGACGCCUGUGACGAGUGCUCAUCUGUGCUGGCUGGAACUGGAGCAGUCAUCUUGGACCAUUGUGGGGACAUGAGGAAGAAGCUAACACUGAGAAUGAUCCCAGGAUUCAGAAUUGUGAUGUCAAAUCAAUAUAUCAUGUGGCUGUGAGCUUUUCUUCCAUGUCCAGACACACUGUCACUUGUUCCAACAACCCAUAAUACAAUGGGCUAUUCAAGAAGCUGAAAAGCAUUUUCCAGAGUCCAGCUACUGUGGGAUCAAAACAUCUCAGUCACCACCAAGUUUGUGAUUGUUUACAAAACAAGUGGAAAGGUGAACGCUGAUUCAAAAAAAAAAAAAAAAAGGAAGAGAGUUUGAGCUACGUUAAAAGAGACUCGGGAGUAUGGAAUCCUUAGUAUAACAGCAGAAGUCUAACUUAUAAUCUCUCCAAUCUUUCAAUAAGCCAUACCCCAUGACUACACCGGAACUGAGAGAAGAGAAUACUGGGAAAUUAAAUUCCCAGUGGCCCAUGAAGGAAUGACACUCCAGUAGUGAGGACCAUACCUAGUUUCCCCACCAGAAGGAACCAGGGCUCCUUGGAGAAAAAGGCUAGGGCUCAGCCUGACUGGUGAUGAAGCGGAAAACUGGCACUUCACAAUAAUGAAUUCUCUUUGCCUGAUGUGCUUUACACGACAGUGAUUUUCCAGACCGAGAAUUCUACCAUGGAGGAAGUCAGGAGUUCAUCUUUGUAUCUGCUUCAUUUAAAGGGAUUGAACACAUUUACUCAAUUGUAAUAUCCACCUAUGACUCACCUUUACUUUGUGUGUGUGUGUGUGUGUGUGUUCAUGCACUCACACUCAUGUGCAUCUAGUUAACUUCACAGACUAAGAUCUUCGAUUCAUUUAUGGUUUUCAGUUUUAAAACAGUAGCUGCUCAAAUAUAAUUUCUCUUUUAAAAUUAAACAAGUUUAAACAUCUAUCAGCAUAUAUAGUAUUUUUUACUUGUUUUUGGCAAAAGAGAUGAUUUCUUCUCUAUUAUUCUAAUGAACAGUAUAAAGAAUAGAAUACUCUUCUAAGGGAAGUAGUUGACAAGAAUUACAUGUUUGUGUGUGAAGAGAGCCAUUUUUUUGAUAACAUGCUUUUUUUUUUUUUUUUUUAGAUCAGUCUAUACUAACAAAAGUGAAGUGGAGAGGACAGGAAGUAGGAGGGGUAUGGAGAAUGGGACAGAGAAAGUGUUUUAAAAUAUAAUGUAUUUAUUUAUUUAUUUAUUUAUUUAUUUAUUUAUUUAUUUAUUUAUUUAUUUUUAAGAUUUUAUUUAUUUAUUUGAGAGAGAGAGAGUGAGAGAGCACAAGAGGGGGGAGCGGGAGAGGGAGAAGCAGACUCCCCGCUGAGCAGGGAGCCCGAUGCGGGACUCGAUCCCGGGACUCCAGGAUCAUGACCUGAGCCGAAGGCAGUCGCUUAACCGACUGAGCCACCCAGGCGCCCUAAAAUAUAAUGUAUUUAGUAGAAAACUUGAGAUAUAGUAGGACCAAUAGAUUAGAAAAUUGCUGUCCCAGUUUGUUGUUCUCAGUUCCCAAGAGGUAAGAACACACUAGGCCAUGGGGGCUCCACAAACAGAAGUACCGCCAUCAGGUAGGAGAUGGAAGGAGAGGGAACACUGGGCAAGAGCCUUUAUUGUGGUUUCUUCAGGAGGAUGUGCACGGCAGGAAAGGCAGGUUUAGGAGUGGCUAGUUUGAAUAAUUUCAGUGUGGAAGGGCUGUCCUUCAUUGUCUGGCACCUAGCCUGGGGUGACUUGGGUAGGUAAGUAGUGGCCCAGAGUGUGACAGCCUGAUAGAGCAGGUGGUUGGGCUCUGGAUGGGUUGAUUUGUAUUUGCAAAGUGCACACUUGGGUGAAAUUUUUUUUUUAAAAGAUUUUAUUCAUCUAUUUGACAGAGAGCAUAAGCAAGGGGGAGCUGCAGGCAGAGGGAGAAACAGGCUCCCUGCUAAGCAAGGAGCCCGAUGCAGGGCUCGAUCCCAGGACCCUGGGAUCAUGGCCUGAGCCAAAGGCAAAUGUUUAACUGAGUGAGCCACCCAGGCACCCAGUUGAAUUGUUUUUUAUCUCUAGGAAUUGGCUACCUUUGGAAGGGGCAGUCCCUCCAGGGUCAGCGAGGCUCCAGACAUCAAAACAUCAGAAUGUGGACAAUAAAAGACACGGUUAAUACAGAGAGAAAGAGAAAGAAGACUGGAGGUGAAUUAAGAAGAAAGACACACAAAAUACGCCUGAGUCUAAAAUGAUGUUUUAGAAAUUUAAUAUUAUAUUAUAGAUGAAGAAACCAAGGUUUUCUCUGAUGUAUCCAGGUUUUGUAACUAAGAAGCCCUGAAAGUCAGUACUUUAUCGUCUCUUCUAUGUACCAGUUCUAGCACAUUCCACAUAUUUACAAAUCUUUGAAGAAGGAAGGGAACAGAAGACAAAAAAAAUGGAAAGGAAGAAGGAAAGUGCUAGGGUUUCAAGGACUGCUGCGCUAUGUCCCCAAGGAGUUGACUCUGGCUGAUAAAGCAGAAAAGAGAUGUAUUGAAAACAUACUGCCAACUCUGGCUUCCACCUAAGGUAGAGAAAGCUGGAAAGAGCAUGGCCUCCAACUAAUCACAAGAAAAGCCAGAUAAUGUACAAAAUUAUAACUUUCCUUGAACCCAUGAAAGAGCUGAGGUUGCAGUGCAGCCAACUAGCCUGAAAUCUUAAGAUGUGCCCCGCCAAGGACAAGGAGGAUGUGAGCACCAUUUCUACUGUGACAGUGGGAAGAAGACAAGACCUCCACACCUGUUGUAAGAAGGCAAACUCUUACCUGUAUGCAAGAGUUCAGGAAAUAUUGUUCCUCUAAGCUCCUCCUAUGGAAUUUACUAGAAUGUGAGCUGUAAACAAAAUAGCCAGAGGCAUUGAUGUAAAGACUGGGGUGAUCUUGAAAACCAGCUUCUCAGGGAGGAGACGUGAGAUACAGAUGUGCAAUAGACAAGGAGAGAGACACAGCGAGAGAGGGAACACAAGCAGGGGGAGUGGGAGAGCGAGAAGCAGGCUUCCCGCGGAGCAGGGAGCCAGAUGCUGGGCUCCAUCCCAGGACCCUGCAACCAUGACCUGAGCCGAAGGCAGACAUUUAACGACUGAGCCACCCAGAUUCUGUAUUUGGCCUAUUUGGCAGCCAUUCAUCAAAGAGCCAAUAUAAGCAUACCUCAGAGGUAGUGGGGGUUCAGUUCCAGAUCACCGCAAUAAAGCAAAAAUCUCAAUAAAAAACCCAGUAAAGGCUCUGAGUGAGACAUUCUCCUCACUCCUUUCUGCUUCCUGACCAACACUGCUGCUUUCCUCUGUGAGGCUGCAUGGGAUGAAGGGACCCCCUCUCUGGGACCUGAAAUAGUUGAGUCAACGAGAUAGCCAACAGAAUCUGGUUGUACAAGAACCUGAGCUGACGUUUCCCACUCAACCGCUCUGGAAGUUCACAGAAACUUUAAGGAAGGCCUUGAAUCCUAAUCGUAUAUGGGAUUUCUGGUAAAAUCCCCUACAGAUGCUUCCACUUACUUAUAUUUUAGAUCUCGAAGGGGAUUCAGAAAACGGAUGCUUGAAGAAAGGAGGGAGAAGAGGAAGAAGAAGGCAUUAUUACUGAGAAGCUGGACUUCUCUACAGAAUCCAGGAAGGUUUUUUUUUUUUUCAUGGACUAUAAGGCCAAGAAAAUGUUAAGAAAGUGCAAUAGAUGGACCAUGCUCACCAUAUUGCCAGUGAUCUCCUGCAAACGGAUCUUCGGUUCACAAGAGAAAAGUUUAUGCCAACCACAAAUCCCGGCCAGCAUCACUCUCAUGGCCUCAAAACUCAUCAGGCACACAACAGUUAUUUAUUCCUCCCUCUGAUCUCUCUCCACUGCAUUCAUUUGUUAUUGCAAACUGCCAGAACAGAACUCAGCAGAAAGGAUAGAGAAACGAAUGACCUUGGGUCACUUCUCAUGUCUACGGCAUUCUUGGUAGAGGUUGAGGUAGAGAGGAGAUGGGGCAUCUGUUUCUUCUUGAGUUUUGCUCAUUUUCAUGUACUCCAACUGGCACUGUAAGAGUUGGGUAGACGGAAGGGAAGACCCUAGAUGAAAGCCAGGAGAGAGCGACAGCUUCGCUGGGACCUGUGGACAACCGGCUGGCUCUGUGCUCAGGAAGAAGUCUCACAGAGCACAAGGGGUCAUAAAAUGGGGCCACGAGCCAUUCACACACACAGACGGUUGACACACAUUGGCCUGGAUGGAUUUUCCUUCACCUCAGAGUAAAUAGAUAGAUUAAGAAUACUUAAAUCUAAAAUAAAGAUAAGAACAAGCUGAAGUAAUGAGACAUAAUGGGCUUAUAGGAUAAUUCUUUUACAAAACCAGAAGGAGUUUCUUUCAAAGAAAACUGGCAUUUUUCAAGUGUACAAAGAAAUAUGGGCUCUCUGAAACAGAAUUGGAAUACAAUCAAGAGAGAAUGGGAUGGGAUAAAAAAGACAAAGUGAGGAAAUAAGAAGAUGGGUAAGAAAAGGAAAAGUCACAAGGAAAUUAAAAAUGCAAUUGCAGAAUUAAAACCAUUAAUGGAGGAAGAAAAGACAGAUUUAGCUUUACAAACAUGGAAUCAGUAUGUGAAUGCAACCGAGAGGCUGUGAAUAAUGUUUAGGAAAAGAGUAAUGCAUGAAAGAAGUGAGGAAGUGGAAUGAUAGGAUGGAAAUUGGGAAGAAUUUUUAAGAAUUGUAGGUACACCAUUAAAACACAUCAGAAUAAGUGAAACAGACAAGUGAUUAAUAAAUUGAAGAAAAUUUCCAUGAAAGAGAGGCAAUGUUAACCUUUCUGGAUUUUGGCUCUGAGUGGACCUCUCUGACAUGCCACCUUCCUUCAGACCUGCACACAUAUUAAUGCAAUUUACUAUCUAUCUAACUAUAGCAUCAUAGGGUAUUUAAGAUAGAGAAUAUUUCAUUCUUUGACCACUCCAAAAAUCUCUUCCAUAAAGAUUUUUGCAAUGCAGAGAGUAAUUAAUCUCUUAGCCUUCUCCUUUCUAGGUCAGACACCAGUAAUCCAUUUUAUUUUUUCUUCAAAUAACCAGUUUUCUAUGGAAGUAAUCAUUUGUGAUAGUCUUCUAUGGUAGCACAACAUUCUUUUGUAAGAUAUGAUUACAUCAGUUGAAUAUGGUAGUGUAAAAUGUGUGAGAGAAAAUAGACUGUGGUAAAUAUGUUGCUUCUAUUUCUUGCAGAUCAAUCUCUUUUAACAUUUUGGUGUUAACAUAUUUAUAUUUCAGGAGUCAAAGAAUAAAUAUCAGCAUUUAUAGCAGAUGGCUCUGGAAUAUCCUUAUUUGGAGAUUUUUUAAAAAUUGUGCUAAAAUAUACAUAACAUAAAAUUUACCUUU